rnacentral:lncRNA from 1 species
CAAGGCUGAAAUCUUCCUCUGUGAUGGCAUCAAGUGGCUUGUCCCAGGUAAUUGCAAGACAUGGUUGUGUUCAACAACUAACUCAUGCACCUCAUAAUUUCGUGCUUCUCGGUCUAUAGUAAUUCCCAUUCGAACAUUGCAGCCGGUCCUUGUUUCUGCAUGAGGAUGCUUUGUAUUAUUAUCCCUUUUGUCUUUUCUUCUGUAGCCCUCAUUGGAACAAACAUAUCUUGCUGAGGUGAUUACUCCAUUGAGUUUGCUCUUGUUUUCAUAAUUUAUCCUUACAUCAAAACCAAUAUGACCUCCAUAACAUGUCCAAAAGUUCCAAGCCUCUUUUGUGGAAUUGAAUUUCAUACCAAUCUGAGGCAUCCAACUAGGAACCACAUUUGUCCUGUAAAAGUUACACAUAACUUAUUUGUUUGUAUGUUUACACUACAUUCAUAAGGUGAUAUAACCUGAGAAUUUAACAAAAUUGUCGGUACCUGUUAGCAUCCUCAUUACAGCUAGUCAUAUUCUCCAUUAGACUUUCUCUUCGUUUUUGUUGCUAGGAGAAGGACAACAAAAGGGAGACCAUCUGCAUUAAUCUCCUGUCAUGUUUUGCAAAUCCCAGGACUUGAUGAGCAAAUCAUCUGUCUUACAAGCAAAUAUUUGAAUACAUUCAUGCAUUUUAUCUUGAGCUUGUCCAAAACAAUUGAGAUCACUUCUAUUAAAUUUUUUUCACUCUAACAUAAUCUAAAAGAUGCAGAAAAUAAGUUUUGCAUCUUGCCCUUAUCAUCCUCCAUUAAGAAAAUAGUAGCAUAGCAAACUCAAUCUACAAAUUGUGUGCCUUGAGAACAUGAAUACAAUCAGAGCAUAUGUCACAUACCUUCAGAUUAAUUGUCUUCUUUUUUGUUGCUAGGAGAAUCUUUAUCGCCUACGGAUCAGCUUGCCUUGGUUUCGCUCUGAACAUGGAGGACGAUCAGAAGAAAGAUAGGGCAAAAGGGAGUUGAUCUGUGCCGGGGUUCGUCUCCUUAGCUUGCCUUGGUUGCGCUCGGAACAUGGAGGACAAUCAGAAGAAAGAUAGGGCAAAAGGGAGUUGAUCUGCGCCACGUACAGAUCACCGGUCAACAUACAGAUCACAGAUCCACGUACCUUUGUCAUAUUAUUUUACAAGGACGAACAGGAGGAACGAGGAAGAUGAGCGGGACAAAGGCAAAGAGAUCGCUGUUUGGCGCCAAGGAGGUUAUCAGGGUGUGUUUUGUUUGGCGCCAGGUUCUGUUUGGCGGCAAUCCUGCAGCCGUACGAGAUUUUCUACCACAUAAUUAGCUGUUUGUUUCCAUUUAUUAACAGAAUCAAGUGGGGGUAAUGAGAGCCGUCAGAUUU